rnacentral:rRNA from 1 species
UGGGGAAUCUUGGACAAUGGGGGCAACCCUGAUCCAGCCAUGCCGCGUGAGUGAUGAAGGCCUUAGGGUCGUAAAGCUCUUUCGCCUGUGAAGAUAAUGACGGUAACCCCAGAAGAAGCUCCGGCUAACUCCGUGCCAGCAGCCGCGGUAAUACGGAGGGAGCUAGCGUUGUUCGGAAUUACUGGGCGUAAAGCGCGCGUAGGCGGCUUUGCAAGUAGAGGGUGAAAUCCCGGGGCUCAACCCCGGAACUGCCUCCAAAACUAUUGGUCUAGAGUUCGAGAGAGGUGAGUGGAAUUCCAAGUGUAGAGGUGAAAUUCGUAGAUAUUUGGAGGAACACCAGUGGCGAAGGCGGCUCACUGGCUCGAUACUGACGCUGAGGUGCGAAAGUGUGGGGAGCAAACAGGAUUAGAUACCCUGGUAGUCCACACCGUAAACGAUGAAUGCCAGUCGUCGGGUAGCAUGCUAUUCGGUGACACACCUAACGGAUUAAGCAUUCCGCCUGGGGAGUACGGUCGC